GCCCGAGUAGCUCAGACGGCAGAGCAGCGGUUUCGUAAACCGCAGGCCGUGGGUUCGAGUCCCACCUCGGGCU
rnacentral:tRNA from 1 species